CCUACGGGAGGCAGCAGUGAGGAAUAUUGGUCAAUGGACGAGAGUCUGAACCAGCCAAGUAGCGUGAAGGAUGACUGCCCUAUGGUUUGUAAACUUCUUUUAUAAAGGAAUAAAACGAGGCACGUGUGCCUUUUUGCAUGUACUUUAUGAAUAAGGAUCGGCUAACUCCGUGCCAGCAGCCGCGGUAAUUCGGAGGGUCCGAGCGGUAUCCGGUUUUUAUGGGUUUAAAGGGAGCGUAGAUGGGUUGUUAAGUCAGUUGUGAAAGUUUGCGGCUCAACCGUAAAAUUGCAAUUGAUACUAGCAGUCUAGAGUACAGUUGAGGUAGGCGGAAUUCGUGGUGUAGCGGUGAAAUGCGUAGAUAUAACGAAGAACCCCGAUUGCGAAGGCAGCUUACUAAGCUGUGACUGACAUUGAUGCUCGAAAGUGUGGGUAUCAAACAGGAUUAGAUACCCCUGUAGUC
rnacentral:rRNA from 1 species